UUUUUAGAAAAAACUUUUAUCAUUUUGUUUAUUAAAAAAUAUUUAGUAAUAACUUUUUCUGGAAAGACUUGGUUCUGAUCUGCUAUAACAAUGCUAGCGAACGAUUACACAUGGUUCUUGUUGGUUGUGGUGAGAGGGCUUAACAAGUAGGUUUUAUAGAUAUUUUCUCUACAACUAUUUGUGGACCCCAAGCAUUAUUAAUAACACAAUGCUUGACAAGCCUCACUAACACCAGUGUUGAAUUUUAAUAAAUGUAUGAAAGUACGAAUUAGUUCAGUUACUUUAAGGUCCGGUCAACUGGGUGCCAGCAGCCGCGGUUACACCUAGGGACCAAGUUGUUACAGUAGGUAGAAAAGAUAGUUAGGUCAAAUAAAUAUUAGUUAUACAAGAGCAACUACGGGGUAAAAUCCUAAAAUUGCUUUCAGUUCAAAUAAAACCAUUUAUAGGCGCUGACGCUAUGAAACUUAGGAGGGAAACUGGGAUUAGAUACCCCACUAUUCCUAAGCGUAAAUUGGUUAUACACCUACCAGAGCACUAUGAAUCAUUUAUUUAAAACUCAAAGAACUUGGCGGUGCCUUAGACCUCUUAGGGGAACCUGUUUCGUAAUCGACAGUCCACGUUAGACCUUGCCUUUUUUUGAUUUCCAGUCUGUAUACCGUCGUCGUCAGGUAACUUUUGAAAAGCUAAAUGUUAGCAAUAAAGUUAUUAUAAACUUUUACGUCAGAUCAAGGUGCAGCCUAUGAAAAGGAGAGAAUGGGUUACAAUUAACAAUUAUAAUCACGAAAAAUACAGAUGAAAAGCUUAUUUGAAGGAGGACUUAAAAGUAAGGAUGCUAAAAAUAUAAAUGUCCUGAAUUUAUGGCUCUGAGGCGUGCACACAUCGCCCGUCGCUCUCGUUGAAAAAUGAGAUAAGUCGUAACAUAGUAGGAGUAACGGAAGUUGCUUCUGGCUG
rnacentral:ncRNA from 1 species